rnacentral:rRNA from 1 species
AGUGAACGCUGGCGGUAGGCCUAACACAUGCAAGUCGAACGGCAGCACAGGAGAGCUUGCUCUCUGGGUGGCGAGUGGCGGACGGGUGAGGAAUACAUCGGAAUCUACUCUGUCGUGGGGGAUAACGUAGGGAAACUUACGCUAAUACCGCAUACGACCUACGGGUGAAAGCAGGGGACCUUCGGGCCUUGCGCGAUUGAAUGAGCCGAUGUCGGAUUAGCUAGUUGGCGGGGUGAAGGCCCACCAAGGCGACGAUCCGUAGCUGGUCUGGGAGGAUGAUCAUCCACACUGGAACUGAGACACGGUCCAGACUCCUACGGGAGGGAGCAGUGGGGAAUAUUGGGCAAUGGGCGCAAGCCUGAGCCAGCCAUACCGCGUGGGUGAAGAAGGCCUUCGGGUUGUAAAGCCCUUUUGUUGGGAAAGAAAUCCAGCUGGCUAAUACCCGGUUGGGAUGACGGUACCCAAAGAAUAAGCACCGGCUAACUUCGUGCCAGCCGCCGCAGUAA